CUGUCACUGUCACUAAUAAAGUACAAUAAUCUGUGAUAAUUAAACUUCAAAUUUUUUAUUUCGAAAACAGGGUAAAAUAUAAAUAAAUGUAGUAUAAAUGGAUUAAGAUGGAUCAAUAUCUCGAAAAAUUAAACAACGAAGAUGAUAUCAAACCUAUUUUUCAAUCGUCACCAACAGUGUCUCUCGGUUUAUCCAAUUUGGAGAGCAGCAAGCAAAAGUGGUCCCCAAGUUUAGAGGAUGAUAGCCGGAAAAGUGCUUUUUUACCUUAUAAAGUUUAUACCUGCAACUCAAUGUUAACCAAUUUACAACGCGGAAACACUAUCACGGAAAACCAUUUUCCGGCGACCACAGUGAGCUUUCAUAUGAAAGCUGGACAAGGUGAACUAACCCUACAAGACGUUUUUAAAGAAAGUGAUGUAAAUGUUAAAGAUUGUGAUAAUUUGACAGCUCUUCAUUGGGCAUCUUUUUAUGGACAAAUUCAUUCAGUACAAUUAUUGAUUGAAAACGGGGCUAGGGUAAAUGAAAUGGGAUCUGAAGAAGAGACUCCUUUGCUUUUGGCUGCUAGUGAGGGUCACCUUGAUGUUGUGAGGUUUUUGAUAGGACAGGGGGCUGAAGUUAACCACGUAGAUCAUAUGUGCAACACAGCUCUAAUGUAUGCCGCUAAAGGAAAUCAUCCUCACACUUGUCAAGAACUCCUACUUAAUGGAAUAAAUUUUUCACUGGAGAAUUUAAAUGGUGAUAAUGCACAUACAAUUGCAGUAGAAAAUAAUAGUACUUUAGGAUGAUGUAGACCAGAAUCGUAAUCGAUGUGGAGAGAUGUUCUCUAAUUUUCGCAUGUGGUUUUACCGUCUCGUUGGAAUUAGUUUAUCUUUCCCAUUUUCUUCUUACCAGCUCAGACCGUUAUUGAAAAUUUCCUAAUUUUGCAACUAGAGUCAAUAAUAGCAGUUGAACCAAGUGGAAGUAGUGCAGUUUUACAGGAACUUUCCAAUUGAAUAUUAUCAUUAUUUGGUUUGGAUACAAAGUUUGUACAGAUUUUACUAUUGGUACCAAAAUUUAUAGUCUAGGGGGGUCAGCGUGUCCUUUUCAAUUCUGAUGGACAAACUCAACGGUUUCUUAUGGAUUUUUGGCUGCUGAUUACUAAUUUCGAGGGUGGAUUUCGAUCCGAGUGACUCAUAAACUAAAAGAGAUAAAAAAUGUUUCAAAUAAAAUUUGGUCCUUAAUAAAAAACAAAGAAAAAAACGUUUACUAAACUUAAAUCCAACAAUUAGAACUCAAGAUAUCGUAAAAUUAGUGCACAUAGCAAAUUGCCAAUUGCAAAAUAAGUAUUUUUAGAAGCUGUAUCGAUCGUAACUCGGCUUCUACGCAUGCAAAUGAGCCUUAGAAGGUCUCAUUUUAAAGCUUAAUUAAUAGGCUUUCAAACAAAGUUCGUUAAAUAACUUUAUCUUAAUUUGUUUUAAAGUUAUACCCGUUUGAAAGUAUAAUUUUAUUAAAAAAAUUGAGCAUUAAUUUGUGUAUAAGGGUUUCAAGCAAAUUUGAGCUAUAAACAUUUAUACUUUAAUUAACAAUAAUGAUAGACGAACUCAAAAGGAACAAUUUGAGCUUAUGAAAAUGUUCGUAAAUUUAUUUUUGGCCAAGAUAUCGAUAUUGUAAUGUAUUUUUCGACGCUUUAUCGAUCGUAACGCGGCUUCUACAUAUGCAAAUGAGCUUUUCACGGUCUCAUUUUAAAGCUUAAUUAAUAGACUUCCAAACAAUGUUUGUCAAAUUACUUUAUCUUCAUUUGUUUUUAAAGUUAUACUCGUUUGAAGUUAUAAUUUUCUUAAAAAAUUUGUACAUUAAUUUGUUUAUAAGGGUUUUUAGUAAAUUUGAGCAAUAAACAUUUAUACUUUAAUUAACAUUAAUAAUAGAAAAACUCAAAAGGAAUAUUUUGAGCUUAGGAAAGCGUUCGUAGGUUUAUUUUUGGCCAAGAUAUCGAUAAUUUAAUAGCACGCACUGAGGCUCAAGACGGCUCACAGUCAUGUAAUAUCACGGUAAAGACACCGAUCGACUGCUCUCGUGUUACACUAUUUUGAUCAGGCAGGAGGCCUUGCCUAUUCUUAAUAUGUCUGUAAAUGUCUACAAAUAUAACAUACUACUGUCAAUUCUGUCUAUAGCCGAUCAUGCGCCUCAGAACGCGCUAUUAAAAUAUCGAUUUUUGACCAAAAAUAAACUUACGAACAUUUUCAUAAGCUCAAAAUAUUCUUAAAGAGCCAGAGCCUUAUAAACAAUUAAAUUGUUUAUAACAAUUUUUUGACCACUCUGAUCGAAAUCCACCCUCGAAAUUCGUAAUCAGCAGCCAAAAAUUUAUAAGAAACCGUUGAGUUUGUCCAUCAGAAUUGAAAAGGACACGGUGACCUCUAUUUGGCGCCUAGACAAUUAUAAAUGCUGAGUGUAUCAUUUGGCUCGAUGUGAUUCAUAUAGAGAAGGUUAUUAGACAUCAAAAUUGAUGGUUAAAAUUUAUUAUUCUUGUAUUACAUGUACAAAGACGAUCAAAGAUUAUAUAUUUGUAAAUAUUUUAUUAAUAAAAUCAAAUUUUAUACCCUUAA
rnacentral:misc_RNA from 1 species